CAUGCUCCCGGCCGCCAUGGCGGCCGCGGGAAUUCGAUUCGUAUUACCGCGGCUGCUGGCACGGAGUUAGCCGGUGCUUCUUCUGCGGGUAACGUCAAUCAACAGCGCUAUUCACGCUGUUGCCUUCCUCCCCGCUGAAAGUACUUUACAACCCGAAGGCCUUCUUCAUACACGCGGCAUGGCUGCAUCAGGCUUGCGCCCAUUGUGCAAUAUUCCCCACUGCUGCCUCCCGUAGGAGUCUGGGCCGUGUCUCAGUCCCAGUGUGGCUGGUCAUCCUCUCAGACCAGCUAGGGAUCGUCGCCUAGGUGAGCCAUUACCCCACCUACUAGCUAAUCCCAUCUGGGUUCAUCCGAUGGCGUGAGGCCCGAAGGUCCCCCACUUUACUCCAAAGAGGUUAUGCGGUAUUAGCCACCGUUUCCAGUGGUUAUCCCCCUCCAUCGGGCAGAUCCCCAGACAUUACUCACCCGUCCGCCGCUCGCCGGCGGGGAAGCAAGCUUCCCCCCGCUGCCGCUCGACUUGCAUGUGUUAGGCCUGCCGCCAGCGUUCAAUCUGAGCCAUGAUCAAACUCUAAUCACUAGUGAAUUCGCGGCCGCCUGCAGGUCGACCAUAUG
rnacentral:rRNA from 1 species